AGUAUUGUAGUUAAAUUAAGAAUUUUAAAUUGCAAAUUUAAAGGUGGGAAUCUUUCCCAAUACUU
rnacentral:tRNA from 1 species